rnacentral:rRNA from 1 species
ACAUACGACCAUACCCACUGGAAAACCGCUCUCCCAUAGAUAAGCCAGUGAGGGCCAGACUAGUAGUUGGGUCGGUGACGACCAGCGAAUCCCUGGUGUUGUAUGUU